rnacentral:rRNA from 1 species
GUAGGUGACCUGCGGAGGAUCAUU